AGUUCUUAGAAUUGCAGUGAUGAUAGUCUGAAGUCAUGUUUCUGGGGAAGAUUAGACCUGAAGAAGGAGAAAAGAAAAACGGUGACAGGGUGACAAAACGUGAAUGCAAUAAAAACAACUCUCAAAACUCAUGAGUACAACCAGGCAAACUAUAGUGGAAUCCAUUAGCUAAUGUGUCUAUGUGAGCUUAAACUGUGUCUCAAAAGAGCAUCAAGCCCAUAAAAAACAGUGCAAGAGCUCUGAGGUGCCUCCCCCUCGUGUGAAUAUCUAAGAAGCGGUGAGAUGACAGCUUACUAUAUACACAGAAUCCUUGAGGAGUCCUGCCUGAUUGGUACCUGAACAAAAAGUGGUGGUAAAGUUGGAAGUGACAAUUCCACACUGAAAAUGCGAGCUGCAACUUGAAACUGGUUUGUGUCAAAAUACAAGAGCAACUGCAGCAAAUUCUGAGCAGGCUGUAAUUAUAGGAAAAAACAGCAUUUUGGGCAAAAAUAAUGUGGUGAUAUUCACCCAAAAUUGCUAUUUGCACAUGUGUUCUUACAACUCCUAUUAUAUAACCAAAAGUAUUUGGACACCCAAUGAGCUGAAUUGGUUAUUUAGGCCACAUCCAUUGCAGACACAAAAUGAAUCCCCAGCAACAAACAGAAAUAUAAUGAGUCAAACUAAUGAACUUAAGGGGGCUCAUUUAUCAACACGGAGCGCCAACCAAUCAAAUGUUUGUUUUUUUACCUGCAGCUGGCUGAAAUAAAAGCUAAUCACCAGUUAGUUGCUACAGGUUACCCAGGUGCAACUGUGCCACCACUGAUAAAUGAGCCCCAGUGACUUUCAAUGCAGCACCAGCAUAGGAUGCCAAUUUUCAACAAAGUCCAAUUCUGCCUUUCUAGAGUACCAAGUGUUUAGGGAUUGUGUAGGUCCAACAUUUCCAUCAUGAAGGGCUAGGC